AAAUUGAAGAGUUUGAUCAUGGCUCAGAUUGAACGCUGGCGGCAGGCCUAACACAUGCAAGUCGAACGGUAACAGGAAGCAGCUUGCUGCUUCGCUGACGAGUGGCGGACGGGUGAGUAAUGUCUGGGAAGCUGCCUGAUGGAGGGGGAUAACUACUGGAAACGGUGGCUAAUACCGCAUAACGUCGCAAGACCAAAGAGGGGGACCUUCGGGCCUCUUGCCAUCAGAUGUGCCCAGAUGGGAUUAGCUAGUUGGUGAGGUAACGGCUCACCAAGGCGACGAUCCCUAGCUGGUCUGAGAGGAUGACCAGCCACACUGGAACUGAGACACGGUCCAGACUCCUACGGGAGGCAGCAGUGGGGAAUAUUGCACAAUGGGCGCAAGCCUGAUGCAGCCAUGCCGCGUGUAUGAAGAAGGCCUUAGGGUUGUAAAGUACUUUCAGCGGGGAGGAAGGUGUUGUGGUUAAUAACCGCAGCAAUUGACGUUACCCGCAGAAGAAGCACCGGCUAACUCCGUGCCAGCAGCCGCGGUAAUACGGAGGGUGCAAGCGUUAAUCGGAAUUACUGGGCGUAAAGCGCACGCAGGCGGUCUGUCAAGUCGGAUGUGAAAUCCCCGGGCUCAACCUGGGAACUGCAUUCGAAACUGGCAGGCUUGAGUCUUGUAGAGGGGGGUAGAAUUCCAGGUGUAGCGGUGAAAUGCGUAGAGAUCUGGAGGAAUACCGGUGGCGAAGGCGGCCCCCUGGACAAAGACUGACGCUCAGGUGCGAAAGCGUGGGGAGCAAACAGGAUUAGAUACCCUGGUAGUCCACGCCGUAAACGAUGUCUACUUGGAGGUUGUGCCCUUGAGGCGUGGCUUCCGGAGCUAACGCGUUAAGUAGACCGCCUGGGGAGUACGGCCGCAAGGUUAAAACUCAAAUGAAUUGACGGGGGCCCGCACAAGCGGUGGAGCAUGUGGUUUAAUUCGAUGCAACGCGAAGAACCUUACCUGGUCUUGACAUCCACAGAAGAAUCCAGAGAUGGAUUUGUGCCUUCGGGAACUGUGAGACAGGUGCUGCAUGGCUGUCGUCAGCUCGUGUUGUGAAAUGUUGGGUUAAGUCCCGCAACGAGCGCAACCCUUAUCCUUUGUUGCCAGCGGUCCGGCCGGGAACUCAAAGGAGACUGCCAGUGAUAAACUGGAGGAAGGUGGGGAUGACGUCAAGUCAUCAUGGCCCUUACGACCAGGGCUACACACGUGCUACAAUGGCGCAUACAAAGAGAAGCGACCUCGCGAGAGCAAGCGGACCUCAUAAAGUGCGUCGUAGUCCGGAUUGGAGUCUGCAACUCGACUCCAUGAAGUCGGAAUCGCUAGUAAUCGUGGAUCAGAAUGCCACGGUGAAUACGUUCCCGGGGGCCUUGUACACACCGCCCGUCACACCAUGGGAGUGGGUUGCAAAAGAAGUAGGUAGCUUAACCUUCGGGAGGGCGCUUACCACUUUGUGAUUCAUGACUGGGGUGAAGUCGUAACAAGGUAACCGUAGGGGAACCUGCGGUUGGAUCACCUCCUUA
rnacentral:rRNA from 1 species